rnacentral:rRNA from 1 species
CUGGCUCAGAACGAACGCUGGCGGCGCGUUUAAGCAUGCAAGUCGAGCGGCAAGGGCCUUCGGGCCCCUAGAGCGGCGGACGGGUGAGUAACACGUGGACAAUCUGCCCCCCGGCCCGGGAUAGCCCAGGGAAACCUGGAUUAAUACCGGAUGAGACGGGACCCGCGAUGGCGGGAUCCGGGAAAGGCGCUGCGGCGCCGCCGGGGGAUGAGUCUGCGUCCCAUUAGCUAGACGGCGGGGUAACGGCCCACCGUGGCGACGAUGGGUAGCCGGCCUGAGAGGGUGGACGGCCACAUUGGAACUGAGACACGGUCCAGACUCCUACGGGAGGCAGCAGCUAAGAAUCUUCCGCAAUGGGCGAAAGCCUGACGGAGCCGACGCCGCGUGAACGAAGAAGGCCGUGAGGUUGUAAAGUUCUUUUCGGGAGGGGGAACAACCGUGGCAGGGAAUGGCCGCGGGAUGACGUGAAUCCCGGAAUAAGCCCCGGCUAACUACGUGCCAGCCGCCGC